CUUCUUACCUGGUUUCAUAUUUUUACAAAUGUCGAGUACUACAAUCUUUUUUUAUCUCUUUAGUUCUGUUCUUCCACCUGGAGUCCUCACUCAAACUAUCUAUAUUCAUCAGCCGAGAGAAACAAACAUAAAGCGGCAUCUUCUUACAAGUGUUGAAGACGAAGAACAGUGCCUUGGGACUGUUUGGCGUUUUUCCAUCAAGCUUUGCCAGACUUGGUUGGAAGUUGACUAUACUGUUCAUGUAGCAAAGCAAAAUUUGUAUUUUCUUUUUCUCUUUCUUUCCUGAUAAGAUGCAAUGUGUUUGGAAUGUAUAGAUGAAUAUGUUAGGCAUAGAUGAAUGUUAGGGUGUAAAAAGGAAUAGAUGAAAAUGUGUUAGGGUGUGAAUGGUAUAGAUGAAAAUGUUAGGGUGUGAAUGGUAUAGAUGAAUGUUAGGCAUAAUGUAUAGGGUGUGAAUAUAGAUGAAUAUGUUAGGGUGUGAAUGGUAGAUGAAUGUUAGGGUGUGAUUGUGUGAAAGGUAGAUGAUAAAUGUUGUUAAAGUGUGAAUGGUAUAGAUGAAUGUUAGGGUGUGAUUGUGUGAAUGGAUGAAUGUUGUUAAAGUGUGAA